rnacentral:rRNA from 1 species
UACAGAGGUCUCAAGCGUUGUUCGGAUUCAUUGGGCGUAAAGGGUGUGUAGGUGGCGCGCUAAGUCGGGUGUGAAAUUUCGGAGCUUAACUCCGAAACUGCAUUCGAUACUGGCGUGCUUGAGGACUGGAGAGGAGACUGGAAUUCAUGGUGUAGCAGUGAAAUGCGUAGAGAUCAUGAGGAAGACCAGUGGCGAAGGCGGGUCUCUGGACAGUUCCUGACACUGAGACACGAAGGCCCGGGGAGCAAACGGG